UGUUAGAAACGCUGCCUGGGCCCUGCCAGGGGAGCCGUGAGGAACAGGUUUGGAACCCUUUCAGCCCAAGGAUUAAAAAAACAUGCUUGGAAAAAAGAAAUGAAAAAGAAGAAUGGGAUUUUUUUGUCAUUGUUGAAGCCUGUUUAAAAUGCUGUCAGCAGUGUAAAAUGGUGUAAAAUGGAUCAGAGCUGCCACCUCAAUUUUUAAUGAGAUAAUCUGAAAUGGGAAGAUCUCGGGCACCUAGUCCAGCUACUCUCUGGGCCCUGGAAGGCUGACAGAUACAGUGGGCAUCCAGCUAUAAGGCAACAUGAUGCACAGAGCUGGCUACAGUUCUACAUAGAAUAAACUGCAUGAAUGAAGAAAGGCAGCCCAUGUUGGAUUGCCUCCACUCCCUAGGACAGACCGAGUAACGUGGCACCAGCUUCACAACAGACCCUUAUCACAUGCACAGAACCUGCCAGGGAACAGGGUGUUAAACCAAAACUGC